AUUGAACGCUGGCGGCAUGCCUUACACAUGCAAGUCGAACGGCAGCGGACCUUCGGGUGCCGGCGAGUGGCGAACGGGUGAGUAAUAUAUCGGAACGUACCUUUCAGUGGGGGAUAACGUAGCGAAAGUUACGCUAAUACCGCAUAUUCUGUGAGCAGGAAAGCAGGGGAUCGCAAGACCUUGCGCUGAUUGAGCGGCCGAUAUCAGAUUAGCUAGUUGGUGAGGUAAAGGCUCACCAAGGCGACGAUCUGUAGCGGGUCUGAGAGGAUGAUCCGCCACACUGGAACUGAGACACGGUCCAGACUCCUACGGGAGGCAGCAGUGGGGAAUUUUGGACAAUGGGCGCAAGCCUGAUCCAGCCAUGCCGCGUGAGUGAAGAAGGCCUCGGUUGGUAAGUACGUCUUUCGGUCCGGGUAACGGAAA
rnacentral:rRNA from 1 species